CAGCCGCCGCGGUAAAACGGAGGGUGCAAGCGUUAAUCGGAAUUACUGGGCGUAAAGCGCACGCAGGCGGUCUGACAAGUCAGAUGUGAAAUCCCCGGGCUUAACCUGGGAACUGCAUUUGAAACUGUCAGGCUGGAGUCUUGUAGAGGGGGGUAGAAUUCCAGGUGUAGCGGUGAAAUGCGUAGAGAUCUGGAGGAAUACCGGUGGCGAAGGCGGCCCCCUGGACAAAGACUGACGCUCAGGUGCGAAAGCGUGGGGAGCAAACAGGAUUAGAGACCCCAGUAGUCCCUGUCUCUUAUAC
rnacentral:rRNA from 1 species